UCUUGUGAUCCAACAAAUGGAAAGACAAUCACAUUCUGAAGGUUUGGAAGACCUGGUUAAAAUAAAUCCUCAGAAAUGAAUCUUUAUGCAUUGGUCUGCAUUGACUGAAAAUAUCACCCGAGGAUUAAUUUGAACAAAACGAUCCAAGACACCCUGUGAAGGUUGAAAGACAUGCGUAUGGUUGUUUUCAAUCUGCAGAUGAUGCAAUUAUACCACAAAAAUGCCAAAAAGUUUCCCAGAAAUCCUGAUAACAAUUGAUUGACCAUUGAUACAAGUCAUCAUAAGAUUCUAAAAAAAUUGGGCAAGACAGGGUCAGCACUACCAAAAUUUGUGGCUUCCUUUCGAGCUGGUUUCCACAUGAUUUCAGAAAUUUCAUUGCAGCGAUCCAUCCCUGUAGUUUACCCAGCAAUUGUCAGAGAAAUUAUG